rnacentral:rRNA from 1 species
CCUACGGGUGGCAGCAGUGGGGAAUAUUGGACAAUGGGGGCAACCCUGAUCCAGCCAUGCCGCGUGUGUGAAGAAGGCCCUCGGGUUGUAAAGCACUUUCAGUGAGGAAGAACGCCUGGUGGUUAAUACCCAUCAGGAAAGACAUCACUCACAGAAGAAGCACCGGCUAACUCCGUGCCAGCAGCCGCGGUAAUACGGAGGGUGCGAGCGUUAAUCGGAAUUACUGGGCGUAAAGCGCGCGUAGGUGGCUUGAUAAGCCGGUUGUGAAAGCCCCGGGCUCAACCUGGGAACGGCAUCCGGAACUGUCAAGCUAGAGUGCCGGAGAGGAAGGUAGAAUUCCCGGUGUAGCGGUGAAAUGCGUAGAGAUCGGGAGGGAUACCAGUGGCGAAGGCGGCCUUCUGGACUGACACUGACACUGAGGUGCGAAAGCGUGGGUAGCAAACAGGAUUAGAUACCCCUGUAGUC